rnacentral:rRNA from 1 species
GAUGAACGCUGGCGGCGUGCCUAAUACAUGCAAGUCGAGCGAACAGAUGAGGAGCUUGCUCCUCUGACGUUAGCGGCGGACGGGUGAGUAACACGUGGAUAACCUACCUAUAAGACUGGGAUAACUUCGGGAAACCGGAGCUAAUACCGGAUAAUAUCUUGAACCGCAUGGUUCAAUAGUGAAAGACGGUUUUGCUGUCACUUCUAGAUGGAUCCGCGCCGCAUUAGCUAGUUGGUAAGGUAACGGCUUACCAAGGCAACGAUGCGUAGCCGAGCUGAGAGGGUGAUCGGCCACACGGGAACUGAGACACGGUCCAGACUCCUACGGGAGGCAGCAGUAGGGAAUCUUCCGCAAUGGGCGAAAGCCUGACGGAGCAACGCCGCGUGAGUGAUGAAGGUCUUCGGAUCGUAAAACUCUGUUAUUAGGGAAGAACAAAUGUGGAAGUAACUAUGCACGUCUUGACGGUACCUAAUCAGAAAGCCACGGCUAACUACGUG